UACCUUGAAUUACUGAAGGCGGCUAAUCUUGCAUGUUAUAUAAAAUAACCAGUUUACCCUCUCCAACUCUCAAAAUCCUUUCAAUACAUCAUUUUAAAAAUUUUAAUUUAAAAUUUUGAAUUGUAAUCUUUUAAACUUAAAAUUUUAAAAUUUUAAAAUUUAAAUUUUAAAUCUCAAACUUAAAUUUUUAAAUUUCAAAAAAUUUUAUAUUUUAAAUUUAAAUUUUAAACUUUAAACUUUAAAAUUUAAAAUUUAAAAUUUAAAAUAGUCUUUUAAAAUCAAAAUUUUAAAUUUUAAAUUUAAAAUUAUAUUUAAAUUAAGAUUUUAAAUUUAUAAAUUUUAUAUUUAUAUUUUACAUUAAAAUAUUAAAUUUUAUAUUUUUGUUCAAAUUUAAAAUUUAAAAUUUAAAAAAUUUAAAUUAUUUAAAAUAAAAUUGAUUAUAAAAAUAUUAUUUGUAAUCAGUAAAAAAAAAAAGUUUGCCAAAUAUGGCUAAGGGCAAUUUUGAAAUAAAUUAUAUUUUAUUGUCAAGAUUACUGAAUUUUAUAAACUGAACAAAAUAUAGUAAUGAUAUAAACUAAUCCAACAUUACAUUACUACUGUAUCAAACUACAUGCGCUAAUGUACUAUCAGUAGUAAUCUUAUUUAGAAAUUCAAAAUAUCUGGAUAUAUCGAAAUAUUCUGUAAUAUUACAUAACUUAAACCAAAUGUGAGUAUUCUUAAUUUAAGGGCAAAUAAGAAAAAUUGGUGAUGGUAGAGGGAUAUAUUUGAAAAGAUAAAAAAUCAGAAUAUUUCUUUUGCUCCUAGCUUAAGGAUAAAUAAGAAAAGUUUGUGAUAGUAGAAAUGUAUAUUUGAAAAGGUAAAAUAGUAAUUUUACACGACUAUUGCUAACCGUUCACUAAUAAAAUUUAACUUUAGGGGUAUAUUUGAAAUAACUUGAAACGUAAAAAGGAUAUUUUUAAUUAGGGCUGGCAAAUGAGUGAGCCAGCUCGUGUUCGACUCGCGUUCGGCUCGAUAUUCGGCUCGCUCGAGCUCGGUUCGA
rnacentral:lncRNA from 1 species